rnacentral:rRNA from 1 species
AAUCAACGCUGGCGGCGCGCUUAACACAUGCAAGUCGAACGGGAAAGUGGAGCAAUCCAUGAGUACAGUGGCGUACGGGUGAGUAACACGUGGGUGAUCUACCUUUUAGUGGGGAAUAACCCUGGGAAACCGGGGCGUAAUACCGCAUAAUCCCGAGAGGGGAAAGGCAGCAAUGCGCUGAAAGAGGAGCCCGCGGCCGAUUAGCUAGUUGGUAGGGUAAGAGCCUACCAAGGCAGAGAUCGGUAGCCGG